rnacentral:rRNA from 1 species
GAACGAACGCUGGCGGCACGUUUUAAGCAUGCAAGUCGAAUGGCAGCAGGGGUAACUCUGUGAGAAUGGCGAACGGGUGAGUAACACGUAGGUGAUCUGACUUGGGGAUGGGGAUAGCUUGUGGAAACACAGGGUAAUACCGAAUAAGCUGACGAGACUUUGGUUUUGUUAGUAAAGGCGCUACGGCGCCGCCUUAAGAGGAGCCUGCGGCUGAUUAGCUAGUUGGUGGGGUAAAGGCCUACCAAGGCGACGAUCAGUAGCCGGCCUGAGAGGGUGUACGGCCACACUGGGACUGAGACACGGCCCAGACUCCUACGGGAGGCAGCAGCUAAGAAUCUUCCGCAAUGGGCGAAAGCCUGACGGAGCGAUGCCGCGUGAUCGAUGAAGGUCGAGAGAUUGUAAAGAUCUUUUCCACAUGAGGAAUAAUACUGGGAGGGAAUGCCCGGUAGAUGACGUUAGUGUGGGAAUAAGCCCCGGCUAAUUACGUGCCAGCAGCCGCGGUAACACGUAAGGGGCGAGCGUUGUUCGGAAUUAUUGGGCGUAAAGGGCACGCAGGCGGCCUAACAAGUCUGAUGUGAAAUCUCCGGGCUCAACUCGGAAUCCGCGUUGGAAACUGUUAAGCUAGAGUAUUAGAGGGGGAGUCGGAAUUCCUAGUGUAGGGGUGAAAUCUGUUGAUAUUAGGAAGAACACCGGUGGCGAAGGCGGACUCCUGGCUAGAUACUGACGCUGAGGUGCGAAAGCAUAGGGAGCAAACAGGAUUAGAUACCCUGGUAGUCUAUGCUGUAAACGAUGUGCAUUUGGUGUUGGGCCGAUUAGGUUCAGUGCCGUAGCUAACG